CCUUCGAUGGUUCAGUUGUAGAAUGCUCGCCUGCCAAGCGGGCGGCCCGGGUUCGAUUCCCGGCCGAUGCA
rnacentral:tRNA from 1 species